rnacentral:rRNA from 1 species
GACGAACGCUGGCGGCGUGCUUAACACAUGCAAGUCGAACGGAAAGGCCCUGCUUUUGUGGGGUUCUCGAGUGGCGAACGGGUGUGUAACACGUGAGUAACCUGCCCUUGUCUUUCUGGUAACAUCACGAAACUGCGGCUCAUACCGCAUAGGAUCUACUGCUGCAUGGUGUUGGUUGGAAAGUUUCGGCGGUUGGGGAUGGACUCGCGGCUUAUCGGCUUGUUUGUGGGGUUGUUGCUGACCAAGGUUUUGACGGCUAGCCGGCCUGGGAGGGUGAACGGCCACAAGGGGACUGAGAGACGGAGCAGACUCGUACGGGAGGCAGCAGGCGGGAAUCUGGCACAACGGGCGGAAGCGUGAGACAGCAACGCCGCGUGCGGGAUGACGGCCUACGGGUUGUAAACCGCUGUCGCAGGUGACGAAGCGUGAGUGACGGUAACGGGUAAAGAAGCACCGGCUAACUACGUG